CUUAUUUCUAAUGAAACAAUGCUUCGCAAUGGAUUUUGACUUUUUUUUUAAAAGUCACUCCCUCUAUUUAAUGUACUGCCAGAGUGGGGGAUUUAAAGAAGUCUUACAGUGAUGCAUGUAGCUGCUUGAGUCUUAAGGAUGGUCUAAGCUACCAUCCCUUGUCCCUUGGACCAGGGGUCUUCCUGAAUUACCUUUUGCUCCUCUCCAUUCUUUAUACAGUGCCAGAGUAAUCUUUUUAAAAUAUGAAUCAAGUUUCCAUAAUUAGAUAUCCUACUGCUAGCUAUCACAACAAAGUUCAACACUUCAGUGGCUUAACACCCUGGAGGUUUAUUUCUCAUUUUCGAAGAAAUCCCAUCCACUUGGAGCUGUGCACCACAUGGUAAGUCAGGGACCCAGGCUGCUUCCAUCUUGUGGCUCUGCCAUCACCCCAGGGCUCCGAGUUGUCUCCCCUAGGGAGUGGAAAUGUAAAAAGAGCCCAGAUAAGUCACACCAGUCUCUUCAAGAUUCCAGCAUGGAAGUGAUAUAUAUUACUUCCAUUCACAUUCCAUGGCAACAAAUAUCAUGCGCCUACAUAUUGAAAGCAAGGAGGUGGGUCAGAAAAAGUAGCCCCUGGGGUGCCUGGGUGGCUCAGUUGGUUAAGCGUCUGCCUUUGGCUCAGGUCAUGAUCCUGGGGUCCUAGGAUGGAGCCCCCUGUCGGGCUCCCCGCUUGGCAGGGAGCAGGAAGCCCCCUUCUCCUUCUCCUCCUCCCCCUGUUUGUGCUCUCUGUCAAAUAAAUAAAUAAAAUCUUUCAAAAAACAGAAAUUUUAAAAAAGGCAGCCUGUUUAGACAGCUGCCCCCAGGGACAAGCACACAUGAUAGAAAGAAGACCAUAAGUUUUUAGUGAAUAACUAGCUAACUCUAACAUACACUCCCUGUUUUGCAUAAGGUCUGUGUGAUGAAAUACAAAAACUGAAUUCAUUUACAACUUCUAAUAGCUUUUUCCCAGCCUACUAGGCCUAUAGAAGUGGGCUGUUGACCCACAUUCCCAGCCUCAUCUCCUACCAUUUCCCCUUGGUGUCUGAGCUUCCAGGGACAGCUGUCUCUAGGUGCCUAAAGUGCUGUGCUCUUCAAAGUUCUCAGAGAGUGAUAUGCUCUCCC
rnacentral:lncRNA from 1 species